rnacentral:other from 2 species
UAAUCCCUGCGGUGUUCGUUUAAGGCUUAUAUUCUUUGAACCAAUUGUUAGAAAAUGGCUGUGGACUUUAGUGAUACUGGUGUGCGCACCUUUUUGGAUGUGCCCAAUGUGUCCGUGAAACAGCCGCCUUGGACCCAUGGUUCAAGAUGAUAGUCUGACGGCAUAGGCGGGGAGCUU